AAUUGGUGAAGGAGACAUUUAAGGAGUCUCGGGUUUCAGUGCUUUAUAACAGUCCGCACAGAGGACUUUGUGUUUUCUGGAUUCUUAGUAACAUCAAUUUGUUUUGUCUUAUUAACUUCAAGGGGAAAGAAAAAAACAGAGGCUGGUGAGGGAACAACCGUUUAUAGCUGCUAUAGUGUAAGUAACAACAGACACUAACUGAACAACAUGUCAUUCUUUAAUUAAUAAAACAAUGUAAUCACUGGUAAAUUGCUGUGGUGCAAGAGGAAUUAAACACCUGGGCAUAUGAUGGUAUAGAAAAAUGAACAACUUUGGGGGAUGCCGCAUCACAUCAACCCUGAUAAUUUUCCAAAAACAGCAUGCACCAUUGUGAUUUAUUCCUUACUUUAAUCCUAUUCUAGCCCUUCUUCAGAGCUCAGCUUGAGAGCACAGAACCUCUGUUGCCUGAAUAUUUUGAUCAAUAGUCUAUUCUCAUUGAGAUGUUUAAAAAGCCAUAACAUCCAUAAAGAUGAUAUUACUAGGUCAGUGUCACUGCUGUGGUGAGAGUUAGCUGGUUAGCAGUGGCCCCUUUCCACUGAUGGAGAAAGGAAGUUUGAAAAACUAUGCAUAGUAACAGAUUAAAUUCUAGCUCCACUCUGUACCGAUGAGGUUAGAUACAUACAAUGUACAUAAUAACGGGACAACGGGAGUGAAUGUUUCAACAUAAAUAUUUCAUAUUAAAAAUGAAGUAAAAAAAAAAUGUACCUCCUUGAAAUCCAGUGUAGAAGGUUCCACUCUCCAUUCUUGGUAGUUUGAUGAUGAAAUACAGAAACACCCUACAUUCAUCUAUAUGUUUUGAUCGGAUGAUUUCAUUCAUGGAGGAGUACCUGCAUAGAAACCCAGUAGUUGAUUGCGAUUAAACAUUUUAAUCACUCUGUGAUCAGCAGUGAUUUGUGAAUGUCAGGAAAUGUACAACACACCUGGCAGAUGCAAGAAGAUUUGCACUUGCUGAAUCCUCCCCAAAAUCCAUUUGAACUAGAAGAAUCUUAUCUGCACACUGUGUGCCUAGGAACUGCCUGAAAAGACAAUUUACAAACAAAUUAAAGAAAAAAUAAACACUUUCCCCUCCUGUGUAUAUGACCAUAGUGGAUAAUCUUAUACGUAGUGAGUGGAUAAGAUAAGUCACUGAGGGACAAAUUUAUACCUUAUUUUUUUGAGGAAGGAAAAUUCUGUCUCAAACUGUCGCAGUGACAGGUGAUCAAUGUUGGAAAUCCCUGUUUUGUGCUUAAGUUGCUUAACAUCUGCAGCUGUCAACAACCUUGAAAAAGUUGUAACCUUCACAAAGCACAUACAAUAAUAGUGAAUAAUCUACAGUAAAAACCCAUUGAAGAAUAAAAUUAAAUAUAGCAUGGGGAAAAAAGAGUUAAAUCCUACCUCUGUAAAGAUGUAAUGGUUCCGAUGCCCCUUUGGGAUAUGAGAGGCAAUGAAUUCUGCCAGAGAGUGGUGUUUCUGUUCCUUAAAGUAUGUAUUGAACAGUUGCUCUGUCUCUACAUCUGGCAAAUCAGUAUACUCCAACCGUACCACAGAAUCUGGGGUGGCACAAUUUAGUAAGACAUGCUUGGCUUCCAUUAACAGUUUGUCUUGGAUGUCUGCAUCCUCAAUGUCUUCCCUCAGUUUCUCCACUACUUGCAGUAUCACAGAGGAACAUGUAUCUGAAUGGUAACCAAUGAAAACGUCUUGUGGCAAGUACUUGUGUGAACGGGAAUGUUGAUUGACUGAAUUCACAAAAUGUCCGACCCAGAUCUGCAGUUGUUUGACAGCUUCUUUCUGACCACUCAUUAGGACACUGUUGAUGUCAAGGUAGUGUUUUUCAAGUCUGUUAAUUAGUGGAAUUGGGAAUUGUUUGUAGACCACAUCUUUCUCCUCAAUGACAAUAAGCCGGAAGUCUUCGUGUACUCUACACUUCACACGGUGUGUCCCAAGACCAAGAUCAACGUAUUUUUGACCACCCAGGAAAACAUAGUACUGGUUUAAUGCAUCAUACAGACUUUCGUAAAGAUUUUGAAGGUUUAAAAGCACAACAGUCUGGCCAGUUUCCAUGCAGAUCUUCACACGGUUGAUAUUCUUGCAGACUUGUGUGUACUCCUGAUCUUUAGGAAAACUUGAACCAAAGAUGAUCUCUGGAAGAUUGUUAUCCAUGAAGAUAUUUUGCUGAAGAAUUUGAAGGCCUGCAAAGUUCUUGGUUAGUAUAAGAAGGUAGCGACAGUCCUCAUUCUGAGCUUUGCCAGUGAUGUUUUGCCUUACCAAAUCGAGAGUACUGAGGUCAUCCAAGCAAGGUUUUAUGUGAAGUGUUUUGGCAAAGAUUUUCAGAGCAUCCACAUUAUCCAAGCCACUGAAAUUUCUCAACACUGCAUGAACAAUUUGCUCUGAAGAAAGAUAAGAAUCUCUGGAAAAAACAUACAGCAUCUUGAUUAAGCUGUAGUAAUCACGUAAGCCAAAAAAUCCUUUACCUUGCAUGCUGCAGAUCUGCAGGUAGGCAACUGCCAAAGGGUGGAAAAGAUGCUUGAUGUUUUCCAGGACCACUGGUUGCAAAGAACAAAUUCCUGUGGCUGUUUGAAUGAGUUCAUUCUGAUCUGGGUCGCCUCGGGAGACAAAGAUUCCCCUAUUCAUUUUGGCUGGGUCCAAAGCCCAGUUUGAGAUGCCAAUAAACCCAACUUUUUUAUGGGGUAGUGGGUCAUCAUCAAUGCAACCUUCUUCCAACAAGGGGUGAAGGGUUUUUAGAGGCAUUUUUGGGGAGUCUUCAGCUAGGCCUAUCUCAUCUAGCACAACAACAGAGACAUACUCUUUCAGAUUUUUCCCCUCUUGAAAUCGUGCACACUGUUUAAAUGUGUUAAUAAUUCCCUCUGCAGUUGAGUGAGGACUGCACUGGUAGGAUGUUAGGUGAAUCUGCUUCAAUUUUCUGUACAGUUUAGAGUGUGCAGCUUGGCCUUGCAUUGCGUCUGCCACUAAGGUCUUCGACAGAGACUUUGAGCUCCCAGGCUUACCAACUAAGAACAGUGGAAUACGCAGUUCAAUGCACACCACCAUCAUGAACACAUUUUCUUUCAAUGCCUUAUUUUUAGCAAUUGUACCACCUAGGGGUACAUCAUGUAGAAGAAGAUCCUGUAUUUGAGUGAUUUCUUGUGAUACAUUUUUGAGUUUGUUAUAGCUUGGGAAAAAUCUGCAGAGUUUUGUCCAAAAUUCCUUUUUCUUUUCCAAGCAUGCAUGAUAGCAUACUGCCACUGCCAUCAACAGAGCCCAUUCAGCAGGAUCUUUGUCAUCUAAAGAGAUUGUUUCACUCUUUGAUUGGUUUCGCUUCUUCUUCUGAUUCAAGAACUCUUCCAAUUCUUCAAAAAACAUUUCGUAAUUGGUGUAGAACCACUCAAAUACUUGCAUGCAGCGUUCAACAUCUCUCAAACUGACAAAGCUACAUUCGUCUUUUCUCUUCCUCAUGUAGCACUGUGAUGCAGAUAGGACAUCAGUCAUCAUCUUGAUAUAGUCUUUGUUGACUGACUUUUUUUCAACCACACUCUUAACAAUUUGAUUAAUGUACAUUUUUUCUGUGUUGUCAUCAAGCUGCCCAAAGUCCCACACUAAUGGAACCAUACUUGGGGGCAAUGCAUGAACUCUGUAUACCAGUUGACGGAGAGGAAUAGAGCCCAGUUUAUCCUGUGUCUGAUUAGCUUUCACGAUGUAUCCCAACCCUGCUCCUUCCAAUCUUUCAAUCAUCUCAUUUGAGUGUUUUCUGUAAGGAUUGCAAGCAGCAAUAACCUGUAGACCAGUUUGGGGUUGAAGUUUAUUCCCUUGCACAGAAUUGUCACAAAGCACUUCUUUCAGACAACUGAUUGCUUCAGUGGUAUUGGCUUCAUCAAAGAAAAUGACUGAAUCAAGGUCAUGUUUCUCUUUAUUCAAGCAUGCAAUGGACUCAGCUUCUUGUACUUUGGUAUAAAUUACAUCAGGAGUUGUGCCACCAUGAACCUUUACCAAUUUCAUAUUUUCUGCUGGGUUUCCACUUCUUUGCAGCUCACACAUAAAUUUGAUAAGUCUUGUCUUUCCACAACCAGUUUCUCCCAUGAUAAUGACAGGAAUGCCACAUCUGAACCUCAUGUGAAUUGCCAUCAUCUUCAAUAUAUUGUCCAUAGUGAGCUGGUAGGUCUCAUCAGGAUCUGAUGGCCAUUUGACUCCAAGAACACUGCACAAGUGCUCAAUCUUGUCACUUCUUGGUAAGUCAUCAAAAUUAAUGUUGAAAGGGACCUUGUUAUGCUGGAGACCAGUAUACAGCUGUUUUGUCAUAAUGUUCUUCCUUAUGACUCUGUUUGUUGAUGGAUCAAAGGCAUCAACGCCAUUCUCAGCAUUUAACCUGAGGUGGAAACCAAUGAAGGUCAUGGACUCAUGAUCAUCGUUGAAAAAGAUCGCAGCAGAUUGGGCAGAGGCCAGGCCAAGACCUCAUGGGAAUACUUUGAGAUGAUGGACAAAGUAUUGGGAAAAACAAAGAUUAAUCAGCACGAUCCUGCUUCAGCCACUCCUGUUGGAGUUGCAACCACAGCUAAAACAGCUGUAAAGUCUGAAGAGCACCAGCCACACAGUGUGUCAGUCGCUGCAGUGGCCACUCCUUGUUUGCUCCCUAGUGGCCUCUUCACCGCACCUUCCCCAGUUCCUACGCUGGUGACAUCCCCUUUGCUGUGUAACACAUCCCCAAAUCCAGACCCAAGCCCUGCAUGCAGCACUGACAGUUCCAUGCCCACGGUUUCCCCCAGACCUGCUUCCAAGAUCACAAGGCAGCCACUGAAACGGAGGUUUCUGCAUCUUCAGCUCGGCUCAGUGGGCUCUCGCAUUGCCCAGCAGCAGGGGCACGCAGGUGAGCGUACUACCCUUCUUCGCAAUUUCAUCACCAGUCAUGAAGAACGCGCACGCCUGGAUGAGCAGCGUCACCGCAAAAAUGACGCCCGUAAACGGCGCCAGGAAAGAACA
ensembl:lncRNA